GUUAUGCAAUGUUUUAACGAACAAAACAUUGCAUUCUUCAAUUAAUAUAUUCAUUUGUAUCUGAAUAAAUACUGAAAUAACAUUCUAGAGACAUGUUUGUAGCAGCUUGCAGCUGCGUCACAUGUUUGAGGUUGGGUGGUCUGUGGUUUAGUGAGUGCAGUGACACGUGUGUUGGUGAUGCAACAGUUUGGAUUGCAAAGGAUGAGAGAGUGUCGAUUGGACCCUUAUUCCGUUGCUCCUUGAAUGUUCUUUGCUUUCUCCUGCUUCUGUCUUCAAUCUACAGGGUUAACUGUAAGCACUGUGCAUGGUGAUGCACUUGAUGUCAGCGUGCAAACCUCCAGUGGAAACAGCCAUCUGUGCUAACAUGUUCGAAGUCACUCAUGACUUCCUGUAUACAGUUUAACACUGAAAAUAUUAGGUCUCCUGCCAAAUGAGAAACGGUUUCCUGUUUGUGCAUUCUUGUUUUGAGACUUGAGCUAUUCACACCUCUGCAGAUUCUUCCCACAGUUUUGAGGCAGUGCUUUUUAAAAUAUCAGUACCAUCUACAAUUUUGACAGCUAUGCAUAUAAUAUUGUUCACAACAAUUUUUAUCAAAUAGUAAGAUCAUAAUCAACAUAAUGUUUAUGCAUGCACUGUAUAUUUAAACUUAUGGCUGAAGCUAACUUAGUUCUUCAAAGUUAUUUUUAUAUAUUUGAUAACAUUGAAAUAACAUAGUGCUCAUAUAUGACCCAUUAGUGAUAAUAUAGUGAUCCAAUAAAUAUGGAUAAAACUGAGAUCAUCAUUAUCGGUACUUCACCACUUACUACCAGCACACUAAACGUUAUUUCCAUAUCACUCCAAUUUUAUUAAAAACUCAAUUGGCUUCCAGCUGUAUAUCGUAUUAAAUACAAAAUGUCUUACUCACAUUUCAAUCUCUACACAACCUGGCUCCUCGAUACCUCUGUGAUAUGCGUCUAUCUUAUACUUGUUAGGUUCCUUUGACUCUGGCCUUCGCCUUGCUUUAAUGAAAAUAGAUCGUUCAGUGUUUGUGCAGCAAAGCUGUGGAAUUCACUUCCCCAAUCACUCCGUUGUGUCAACAACAUUUCUGAAUUUAAAUAAUUACUUAAGGCUCAUGUGUUCUCUGAAUGUUAUAAUCUGUAAGAUGUUUUUCAAGUUCUCUUUGUUUUUUGUCUCAUUUGUAUUGUGUUUUCCUCUCAUUUUACUUUUAUCUUCAUCUGUUAUUAUUUGUCAUUUCUGUUUGAGUUUAAAUAUUGUUUGUGCUUCCCCUUUUUUAAACUUUUUAAAUAUUUUAAAUGUUACACUGUCUCACACUCUACUAUUUAUAACAGAGGAAUUAUUAAAGACAUAACAUCUAACCUGCUGGUGUAAUACAGUUUAUAUAAUCAAGAUGCAAAAAACUUUUAAUAUCCAAGAGAUUAUACUGUGCCUACAAUGUGUACGACAGACAUUAAGAAUGAUUUUCAAUGUUAUGACAUUUACUGCACUUCAAUGUACAGAAUGAAAAUGCUUGGAGUCUACACAGGGUUGUUGUAAAUUGUGAAAAAAGUUCAGAAUUUGGUGGUAUAGCUGCAUUAGCCUAUUAUUACUUAAAGAGCGAUGACUGUCCAUGAGGUUUUGUUGACAACAGUGCCACCUGUUGGUCUGAACAGAUACUGUACUAUUUUACAACCUGAUACAUAAGGAGGAUCACAGCUACAUUUAAUGGAACAAAUCAUGUGUAAAAAAGUGCUAAAAUGCCAUGGACAGACAGAUUUCUUGUUCUGUGAUAACAAAUUAAAAGUGAAAUUUAUCAAAUAAUUUUCAUUUGAUAAACAAAAAUGACAAGUGAAACUUUUCAAGAUCAGGGGCUUUUGUCAAUACGUUAGGGGCUUAAGCCCUUGAAGCCCCUACUCCCCUACUUGGAACGAGGCAGUUGAGGUAGUGACAACUGACAGAUUCCUAAUCUUACAAAAGAUGACGCAUUUUGGAUAUCCUGUGGCUUUAACAUCUGGCAUGUUGUCAAGAUUAUGUACUUGCUGCUUGACACAUGAAUCUUCUGGUAUUUGUCAGGGACAUGUCAGCAAAGUCAAAGUCAAAGUCAAAUUUAUUUCAUCCAUACAAAUGGAAAUUACAGUGCUUACACACACUGUCAUGCUCAUACAAACAAAUAGCACUAAAAUAUAAUAAGCUAAAACAUUAAAUACACACGCAUACAACUACGAAAACUCUACAAAUGUACGUUUAAAAUGCUCAUUAUGCUGCCUAACUACUUGUGGUAUAAAAGAGCAGGCAUACCGCUUAGUGCGUGCCACUGGUGGUCUUAACCGCCCACUACGCUCCAUGACCUUGUUGUCCAAACAAGCAUAAAGAGGGUGACAGGAGUCCUCCAUAAUCUUAGCUGCCAUUUUCUCCAGGCGGUCAUUUAAUUCACAAAGUAUUGCAUUUAAUUCACAAAGUAUGCUUAUGGCAUAUUCCUGCCAUAGCCGCGGGAACAAAUUUGAUCAGAGGGGUGCUGGGCUUAAUGCUGCGGGGAUGCGGUGGUGGAUUUUUCACAAAAUCCCAAUAUUAAACAGCCCAAACAAACCACACUCACUUACAGACUACCAUGCAAAUUAAUGAGGGCAUAGUUAUGUGUGAACACUCAGAGCUUAUGAUUACGUAAAAGUUAAAACCAUCUAAGAUAUUUAACUGCUGCACAGCGACAGCACAAAAACCUGAGUCUUACCUUAUGAUCAUGGACUUACUAUUGGUCUGACUGGGCUGAGGCUGAGCGGACUGAGCCAAUGCGAGCGAGGGUUGUAAACAGGCCAUCCAGGGUAAAUAAAAGCCUCCGACACUGAGGCCUAUGACCAAACGGUGUAUUUAUUAUUUAUUAUUAUUUCAAAUAGAAGUACACAUGCGUUGAAUCACUUCUGCUACAUUGGCGGGAAAAGAGUUAGCAGUUCAUUAAUCAACAAAUUACUAACUAUCAUAGACUCAAGUUCACACAACAUUCCGUUUUUGCCUCGUCAAAAAUAUAGAACAGCAGAAUGCAUCUCCGAGCAACCAGACCAUAGUUUAGCUGUAGCCUUCAUCCUGCUGCAUCAUCAACAACAUCCCUCUAAUUUUUUGAUCCAAGUAACGUUGAACAGCUCGAUGUGGUCCUUCUGCUAUUAGACUCUAAUUCAUUUUUAGAUGUCCUUUUUUUAUUCUGAUGGAUUUGUAAAUAAAUCAGAUAUUAUUUUCUGACUCGCAAUACUUGGGUCGCAUCACAUCAUUCACGAUAGAUCUACUUAUAUUUAUUUCUCAAAAUCACAAACAACAUUUGACCACAUCAUAUAACAAAAUUAUAUUUUGAACAAUUUUAUGAAGAAAGGUGAAAAAUUAAAAACCUGUUGGAAAACAAAAACUUUUAAUUUAAAUUGACAUCAUAUAAUUUUAAAUUGUCUUGCUGUCAGCAGGGGGUGCUGCAGCACCCUCAGCAGCCCUAGUUCCCGUGGCCAUAAUUCCUGCUGACAAUUGCUUUUGUACCAAAUAAAAAAGUUUCAUCCUAUCUAUAUUUUUUCUCUACUUAAUGCAGUUCUAAACGUAGGCUCGGGAGGAGCCUAAACAUUCAGGCCUGUCAAUCAUCAUCAUCAUAUAUAUAAAGCAGCCUUCAGGCCUUCCUGUCCAGCUGCUUUCUUUUCCGACAUCCCUCCUCCUCCCCAUCUCCUCCUUCACUCUCUCUUUCUUCCUCUUUGCAGUUCCGUUGCAGGGGGUUGAACUUGUGGCUCGAGCCCCAGCCUCAGGUUCGCUCUCUCUGAAGGUUCAGAGCUCAGGUACAGAGCUCCCUUCGAGGACAGCAAGCCAAGUUUGUUUACCAUUAAUCAUUAAGACCUGAAUGCGCAGGCGAACUAGUGAAUAAUCUCUUAAAUAUGGGCAUUUUCUUUAAAAAAUUUUUUUUUUAGCAAAAAUCUGAAAUAAUUGCAUUUUGUGAAGGAAUUUUUUAGAGAUCAGAUUUAGAUCACAGAGUUUAAAAUUAGUAAAUAAUGUUUUGGCUUCAGUUUUUCAUUAAUUGGAUAAGUGUGCCAUCUAUUAGAUUAUAGCGGUAUUGCAGAUUAACAUAAAAAUUCUUCAGGAACACGUUUUUUAUGCAAAUGUUUUCUCUUAAUGGAUGGGGAUAACUCAUCAAUGACAUGGAAAAGCUGAAAGCUUGGUGAAAGCUUUUUAAAAUGGGUUAAUUGGGACAAAAGUGAGGCUUAUUGGGCAGGUCAAAGGCCUUCUAAUAAUCUUCCACAUCUGCCAGGUGGACUUAGAUAGAAAACAGAUGGUUUAAGAUGUUAGGUAUUUAUUAGGUUCUAAUGAAUUCCAAAAGCUAAACUGGGGAGGAACAUACAAGUGGUCUACAUAACAAAAAAAAAAAAAGCUAAGUCAGCACUACUUGCAUUCGUUGUGGUGGACACACUUGCAGAGAGCAUCAAGAGAUAUGCUACAAGUCCUGCUGGAAAGACUGAACACACACACGUACACAUAUACACACUAUGGGCCCUAUUUUAAAUGAUCUAGGCGCAUCGUCUAAAGCACACAGCGCAGGGUCUAAAUGAGCGUGUCCAGUGCCACUUUUGCUAAUUUAACCACGGGGAAAAUGGUUUGUGCGCCGAGCGCACAGUCAAAAAGGGUUGUACAUAUUUUCCUAAUGAGUAAUGGAUGUGUUUUAGGCGUAACGAAUAAUAAACCAAUGAGAAGCAAACCCGCGUUGUCGUCCUGUUUAUAGGCGCAUAUUACUAAUGCGCUCUUUAAAUAACAAAAAAACAUAUUGCGCCAUUGACUUUAGACCAGGUUUUUGUUGGUCAAUGGCGUAGUCUAUUUAAGUUGCCUCAAAAUAGCAACGCGCCAAGAAUGCGCCUGAACACACCUCAUUUUCAGACCAGAACGCCCAUGGGCGCAAAAGGGGGCGCAAAUGCAUUUGCUAUUUAAACCACGUGGCGCAAAACGUGAAAAUGAUAAUUGCACAGGGUGGAAACUAGCAAAAGACACUUGCGUCGCGCAUUGCGCCGGGUGUAAGAUAGAACCCUAAAAGUUAGUUUGAUUGUUUAGUUCUCCAUUCAUCCUCAACUCUUGCUUCAUUGUUCAGUUUAUUUGAAGUUGUUUUUUCAUUUUGGUUCAUUUGGUUUGGCACGUAUGGUUGGGUUGCGAUUUUGGUGCUUUCGUGUGUCUUGUGAAUAGUAUGCCAUACCGACCUGUUUGCCACUGAACCUGCAUUAACGACGACAGUGGGGCCUCCAGCCUUAGUCAAACGGGUUAGCACGUAUGGUCAAAUGGGUCGUCAGGUUUCAUUUUCUCUUAAAGAUCGGAAGGUGACCCUUAUUUACCAUAUAUACCCUCGCAUUGGGCCCCCAAUUUGCUAAAUCCUCAACUGUGGAUAAUAUAAUUAUGCCGCAAUAGUUAGUCUGUCUGGAACUAAGCGGAGUUAAACCACAUCACUGUGUGACACUUCAAUACAUAUGAACGGCCGCUACCCUAAUACGAUUUUGUUUUUCUCUCCCUGUCUCGUUCUCGACCCGAGGACAACGAGACAAACAGACCCAGUCCCGGUAGAUGUGAAAGUCUGCACACCUCUGAUCUACUGGCUGUCCUUCAACGUGAUGGCCAGCUGAUACCUGACCAACGAUCACCGGCAGAACCGCUUAAUCUCCGCUAAAUCUCCUUAUCCGUUCUCCCAAGGGUUUUUCCCUCCUAGGACUUAUUUUUCCUCGGAUAAAAGCCCGGGGGGGGGGGGGUUUCUCCUAGGGGGUUUUCACCCCGGGGAGGCAGCCUUUUUGGGCUUUACUUAGCUUCCUCUUCUAGACGUUACUUUAGUAAUACGUUCACUUAUAAUAUUGAGUCAUAGCCGCAGCAAAUUUAACUGCUUAUGCUAUCAUGUAUGUUGUCGUGCUAUCUGUCGUUUUUCUGUGCUUUUCACUGCUUCUAUUUAUGGAAAGCUGCUUUGAAACAAUUGACUUUUGUGAAAAGCGCUAUAUAAAUAAAAUUGAAUUGAAAAUUGAAUUGAAUUAAAUGUUGUUCAUAAAUCUGA